AUACUUGCCUGGCAGGGGAGACACCGUGACCACGAAGGUGGUUUUCCCAGGGCAAGGCUUCUCCAUGGAUGUGCUGACCCCUCGAUUUCCCCAAAUGUGGGAAGCUCAGCUGCAUAAUUUGUGGUAAUGGGGACUGCUUUCACGCUCUCCCCUG
rfam:Camelus ferus unplaced genomic scaffold scaffold391, whole genome shotgun sequence.